AAAAAGAGCUGCGAGAGAGAGAGAGAGGUGAGUCAGAGAACGAAAAGACGACUGUUUCUGCUCGAUCUAAUCCCGACUCAGCGCGAAGUGGAGAGAGAAGGGGUGGAGGAGGAGGAGGAAGAAGAAGAAGAGGGGGAAGCGCGAAGCAAAGAGAAGAAGCGCUCAAACAACCGAGGGAGAGAACAAUCGGAGCUCCGCUCGCCGCCGGCGAAGGCGCCUCGGAGUAGAAUCGAGGCGGUGGAUCCGGCUGCUGCGAGUUUGCGGUGAGGUCAUCUCGAAUCCCCCCUCCCCUCUUCUUCUGCCUGCGUUCUCGUUUCCCCGCAGGAUUGGCUUCUCUUUCCUAUUCGUGUUAUCCGUCUUUCUCUGCUUCUCUCGCCUUGAUCCGCCCGCGGAGGCAAUUGAGGCCCACUUCGCUUAAUUGUGGGUUCUCCGAUCGCGGACCGGGGAGCAGAUCGUCGCCUGCUUCUUUGGUGGGGUUCCGGGUUGCAAUGAGAGCUUCCCGAGCUGGCCGCUACUAAAUGGGACUUGAUUCUGGUUGUUUCUCGGAUUUUAGGGUUUUCGAUCUCUGUGUGAGAAAAUUCCGGUUUCAGGUUUCCAUCUCUGUGGGCACAGAUUCCUGAUCUUGUGUUGCUUGUGGGGUUCUUCUGUGGAAGAUAAUAUUUCUGCCUGCAUUGGUGUCUCUGAGGUGCUGGGAAUCGUGCAUAGCUUGCUUUCUCUGUAAGAGAAGGUGCAAACGCUGAUAUUGGCUAAAACCCAGAGAUAUAAUAGGAGUGGAGGAAGCUCUUAUAAUCGUUUGCUUUCAUGGUGAUUUAUAUGGCUACUGUUUGUUGAGAGUUGCCGCCGCCACCGAUGCUGCAGCGGCAACCAUCGCUGCCACCACCGAUGUUGCAACCACAGCCACCGGUGACGAAGCAUUCCCGUACCCACCUUAGUGACUUAAAAUCACAGAUAGCAAAGCGGCUGGGCCAUGAGCGAGCAAAUAACUACUUCAGCUAUCUGAAUGGUUUACUGUCACAGAAGCUAAGCAACCGUGAGUUCAACAAGCUUUGCAUUUUGACACUCGGUCAUGAGAAUCUUCCCUUGCACAAUCAGCUGAUCCGGUCGAUCCUUCAAAAUGCCUGUCAAGAAAAGGCUCCUCCUGUCAAUUAUGGCAAAUUUGCACAAAGGUCAACUGUUAUUAUGUCAAAGACAUCUCCUCAAGUAGAUGAUGGACUUGAUUUUUCACAAGCCCGGACACAGUCAGGAAAUUGGUCCAAUGGGGAUAUCUUGCCACGGUCACCGUGCAAGUUUAAGAGUGGUAUUGAUAAUCACAGUAUCUAUGACCACCCUGGUCCUCUUCGACCAAAUGGGAAGGUGGAGGUUGGUUUCCGUGAGAACGGUGUCAUGAACUCAUGUAAUUUGAAGAGACCAUUGCAGCGACAGCAGGAUGGACCUUGCAAGCUGCCAACAAAGAGAACAAGGAUCGAGGAACCAUCACUGCAUGACCAGGGCUCUGUACAUAACAAGGUUCUUUCUGAAGCAGUUCUCCUAGAACAUGUGGAGGAUGUGGACUGUAGGGGUAGUUUAGACUCCCAUAGACAUCCGCUUCGGGCUCCACUUGGAAUUCCUUUCUCUUUGACGAGCAUUGGCAAGGCAAGAAGGACACUUCUCUCUGCUGGUACCAGUAUCAACGAUGGCUUUUGCAGGAAUUAUGAUUGUAGCGAACUGUACCAUACUGAGGUAUUGAAGAAACGAAUGGAUAAAAUGGCUCAAGCACAGGGCUUAGAAGGAGUAACAAUGGACUGUGCCAACUUGCUGAACAAUGGGUUAGAUGCUUAUUUGAAGAGGUUAAUUAAAUCAUGCGUUGAUCUAGUAGGAACAGGAACAGAGCAUGUAUCAACAAAACGGGCAGUUCCCAGUCUUCUGCCUUAUGCAAAGCCCAUUAAUGGUGUUUGGGCAAGAAGUAACAUCCAAAGGCAAGGUAGUGUUGGACCUUUGAUAGGCACACAUAUGUUACAUUUGAAGGAUUUUAGGGUAGCAAUGGAGCUAAAUCCACAGCAACUUGGGGGCGAUUGGUCCUUGCUUCUUGAAAAAAUAUGCGUUGACUCGUUUGAGGAAUAGGAAAAAAUCCGAAGAAUCUGGCUUGCAGAAAUCAUAGCACUUGGACGGGCUUAACUUUUAAGGACUGGUCUAUUUUGGACUUCAAUGGGCAGAUUCAAGAUCCUCAGCUAAAAGAUACACUUUGUGGGUUUCUUUUAGUAUCCACAGAGAAGAAUUCUGUUAAGUUCCUGCUACGGAACACCUCAAACAAUAACAAAUAAUAAAUGCGAGCUUGUCCAAAGGAAGAAACUCUUCUUGUUUGGCCCAUUAUUGUAGGUUAGCAUUCCUGAGGAGGCAUCUCCUUCACAGUAUCACCAUCUGAGGUGUCAAGCUUUUAUAUAAGUGACAUCAUGGAAGACUCUAAGGAAAUUCUGCAGGAAAUUUUUUCUGUAUCUUAUACAAUCAUCAUCUGUUGAUUUCUUGUUCGGAAUCUUUGGGUUACUGAUGUGCAUGAUGUUUUACAAUCUUCCUUAAUCAUAGUGGAUAAGCGAUAUUGGCUGUACCAAAAAUUUGGUGAGAAGAUUCUUAAAGUAAAGAAGGAUGGAAGCUUCCUACUUCAUCCUAAGGCGCCAUGUUUCUGCCCCUUCUCCAUCCCCAUCCACGGAAGACCAAAUUCUAUAACAGAAGUUACGAAGGAGCUAGUCUGUUCUGCAUCAGGCAGUGACAGUGAGGAGAAAGCUAUGGAUGAUUUGUAGAGCAAAGAAAUAAAAAACCAAGGUCAGUUUGUUGGGCAGCGUGCCCAAAUAUGACGAAGAGCAAGGGAGUGCAGACUACAGUCCAGCGACCCUUCAUUAUCCUCUACCGCCCAAGAAUCAUCCUGAACUAUAGUCUUCAGUUUCUCCAAAUGCCAAAAUGAUGCAUCCUAUUUGCAUGUUGAUUGUUGCUUCUCACCGAAAUAUGUUCUGCUAUGCUGUUCUCGUUUAAUGUACUUAUUUGGAGGCAUAUACAUUAGGUUUUUGCUUGGAGUUUGGACACUGUUCUUUGAAGGCAUAUAUUGUGAUGCUUCUUCUAGGAAGAUAUUCUCAUUGUGGAAGGAGACUUGGAAGUUUUGUGACCAUCAAACUGGGUUGCUUCAGAUAAUAUCAAGUUACCACCAUCAACAUUAUGAUGUGAGAAGACAGACUGUUAGUCAGAGGAACCAGAGAACUUGGUCUGAAAUCUUUGCACAUCAUCAAUUUAUCGGAUGAUCCAUCCGUCCAUCGGUCGGUCGGGUGUAUUAUAUUAUUGUUAACUUGCAGUUUGAAGCAUCAAUCCGAGUCAUUCAGUCAGUGGUGGAACCACCGAAGUAACUGGUUCUCGGGGAUCCACAGAGACUCAAUCAGGUCAGAGACUUCUUUCCUUUCUUCUUUAAUCUCUGUUUUGAAGAGUAUUCAUGCAAGAAUAUUAGAUCUGUAAGCUUUACAACCCAUUGUUGGUCCAAGCACGUGUAUCAGAUUCCAAGAACCACCAGGAAUCAUCAUCUUUAGAGCAAUCUCCUGUUCCCUGCUUAGAAACCGCUGCCCACCUUUACCAUGCAGAGAAUCCCAAGUAAUAGACAAGAUAUAGAACUGCUUUAUGGUGAACAAAGAUGACGACGGACAACACCUCACACCACCUUGCUUUCUAGAUUAGCCUGCCAGCAGAGGUGGCCCAAAAGAGACUUGGAUAAUAACAAGUCCAGCUUUAUACAUUGCUAAACAAAUCCCUUACAGCAUACGGAAUCUCUUGUUUGGAUGAAGUAGAGUGUUUAUCACG